CUGUCUACAGUGAUUUAGGAGGACCAAUCAAUCUGGCUACUGAAGUUACCUCCAAGCUAAUAGGACAGUGUUCUCACACCCCCUUCAUGGACCGUAGCUUGGAAACAAGGGGUGACUAGACAGCUGAGUAGUGUUGGCUAACAUUAAAUAAUUCCCUAGUAAUUUAGCUAACGUUCAUUAAAGUCGGCUAAAUCGGCUUGAAUUGGAGAAAUAUGCCGAGGUUCGGGGUUUUCUGGUCACAUUUGGUGUCGACCUUCAGUCUGUGCCUUCUACUUGCCGAUUGUGCGAAAGGACAAUGCCAGGUACCUUCGUUGAAGCCUGGCGUAGAAUUAACCGAUGAGAGCGCUGGAAUGGACACUUUCCCCGAAGGAUCAAAUGUUACUCUCCAGUGCGGUAAAGGAUAUUUAAACACCAGUGAGAGUGGAGUUAUAAAUUGCACAAAUGGAGAAUGGACCGCUGAAACACUUCAAUGCCAAAAAAAAUCGUGUGGCUCACCUGGGGAGUUGUUAAAUGGGAAAUUUACCACCCCAGACGGAACGGAUUUUGGUGCGACCGCUUAUGCUUCUUGUAACCGUGGCUUUGUCUUGAUUGGAACGGCCUAUAGGCAGUGUUAUGAUUUUGGUUGGAAUAAUCGCAUUCCUCUAUGUGAAGUUGUGAAAUGUGGAGAUCCUCCUAAAAUUGACAAUGGAAAAAUCACCAGUCUUCCUUCCGGCGAAUUGUAUGUAUUCAGUGAAAUUGUAACCUACACCUGUGACAAAAACUUCAACCUUGUUGGAGACUCACAGCUUGUAUGUAAUGAAGAUGGUAAAUACAAUGGGACUGUCCCUGAGUGUAAAGGUUUGAACUGUCCGACUCCAAUAAUUGAGCAUGCUGAUCGGAUUGAAGGAGGUCCACCACCCUACAAGCUGAAAUACUUUGUAGUCUAUCAAUGCAGAGAUGGCUAUGAAAUGAGGGGUGAGAGGAAGCUAGUGUGUGAAGCAAACGGGUGGUCAUCUGACUUUCCAACCUGUGUUAAAGUUCCUUCAUCAACAACGAAACCCACCGCUACAAAACCAGUUCCUGUCAGCCUUGCCUCCCUGUUCCCUGCCAGCCUUGCCUCCUGCCCUGCCUUGUUGCUUCAUUGCCAAUCCACAUUCACCUGCCUGCCUUGAGGGUUCCUUCGCCUCGGGGAUUAGGUGCUGCUGGACCUCCCGCUGUCUGAACAGCACUGCUCUACCUGUCUGGGGGUUUUGAUCACCAGCUCCAUUCUGUGUGUACUCCUAAUACAUGCCUCUGUAGAGGAGUGCUUAAUUUAACUGUGGUCUGCGUCCGGGUUUUUGGUCCUCACCAGUCCCUCGUCAUUACAAAAUGGCCAAAAAGGGCUCCCCUAGGACUGAGUUUCAGCGCUGAUGUUAGCUGACACACAGAACAUGGAUUCCAGAUAUUUUUUCUGCAGUUGGACCUCCACCCACAUUCAAAGGAAAUUGACUCUGGCUUCGUGGGAUUAUUGAAGAAAAGUAAGGCACAAAGAUAAAGCGGAAAAAAAGAGACUAUAACAGCUUGGGCAGUACAUGGUAAUAAAUAAAAAAAUAUAAUAAGCCAU